rnacentral:sRNA from 1 species
UACUUCCUCCAUGGAGGAGGCGGCCGAUU